rnacentral:rRNA from 1 species
GAACGACUCUCGGCAACGGAUAUCUCGGCUCUCGCAUCGAUGAAGAACGUAGCGAAAUGCGAUACUUGGUGUGAAUUGCAGAAUCCCCUGAACCAUCGAGUCUUUGAACGCAAGUUGCGCCCGAAGCCCUCGCGGCCAGGGCACGCCUGUCUGGGCGUCACGCA